rnacentral:rRNA from 1 species
UACGUAGGGUGCAAGCGUUGUCCGGAAUUAUUGGGCGUAAAGAGCUCGUAGGCGGUUUGUUGCGUCGGCUGUGAAAUCCCGAGGCUCAACCUCGGGUCUGCAGUCGAUACGAGCAAACUAGAGUGUUGCAGGGGAGACUGGAAUUCCUGGUGUAGCGGUGAAAUGCGCAGAUAUCAGGAGGAACACCCGGUGGCGAAGGCGACUACCUGGCCUGUUCUUGACGCUGGAGGCGACGAAAGCUAGGGGAGCAAACGGG